rnacentral:rRNA from 1 species
AACGAACGCUGGCGGCAGGCCUAACACAUGCAAGUCGAGCGAGGACUUCGGUCCUAGCGGCGGACGGGUGAGUAACGCGUGGGAGCGUGCCCUUUGCUACGGAAUAGCCCCGGGAAACUGGGAGUAAUACCGUAUGUGCCCGAGAGGGGAAAGAUGUAUCGGCAAAGGAUCGGCCCGCGUUGGAUUAGGUAGUUGGUGGGGUAAUGGCCUACCAAGCCGACGAUCCAGAGCUGGUUUGAGAGGAUGAUCAGCCACACUGGGACUGAGACACGGCCCAGACUCCUACGGGAGGCAGCAGUGGGGAAUCUUAGACAAUGGGGGAAACCCUGAUCUAGCCAUGCCGCGUGAGCGAUGAAGGCCUUAGGGUUGUAAAGCUCUUUCAGUGGGGAAGAUAAUGACGGUACCCACAGAAGAAGCCCCGGCUAACUCCGUGCCAGCCGCCGCUGUAAAAC